AAGCGAAUAGUGAAUCUGACGGCUCAACCGUACAGGCUAUUACCUAAACUGGCAAACUCGAGAAUGGUAGAGGUAACUGGAAUUUCUUGUGUAGGAGUGAAAUCCGUAGAUAUAAGAAGGAACACCAAUGGCGUAGGCAGGUUACUGGACCAUUUCUGACACUGAGGCACGAAAGCGUGGGGAGCGAACGGGAUUAGAUACCCCGGCAGUCCACGCCGUAAACGAUGGAUACUA
rnacentral:rRNA from 1 species